rnacentral:rRNA from 1 species
UACGGGGGGGGCUAGCGUUGUUCGGAAUUACUGGGCGUAAAGGGCUCGUAGGUGGCCAACUAAGUCAUGCGUGAAAUCCCUCGGCUUAACCGGGGAACUGCGUCUGAUACUGGAUGGCUUGAAUCCGGGAGAGGGAUGCGGAAUUCCAGGUGUAGCGGUGAAAUGCGUAGAGAUCCGGAAGAACACCGGUGGCGAAGGCGGCCCGCUGGGCUGUGGCUGACGCUGAGGCGCGACAGCGUGGGGAGCAAACAGG